rnacentral:lncRNA from 1 species
CCUUGACGACGUAAUUAUAUUUGUUUUAAAACGACCACUGUACACUGUGUGUAUCUAGGUCAAUUAUAACGUGGUAUUGUCUGUUGUCUCGAUAACAUGUAAACUAAUUAUGUUUGAAGAUUUAACCACGGGAUACUGUGUAUUUCAUCAUAGACUUACGGGAGAGAACAUUCUGGUUAAAAUAUAAAUAUUAGAUCGGAAAACAGAAAG